CAGCAGCCGCGGUAAUACGUAGGGUGCAAGCGUUGUCCGGAAUUAUUGGGCGUAAAGAGCUCGUAGGCGGUUUGUCGCGUCUGCUGUGAAAUCCCGAGGCUCAACCUCGGGCUUGCAGUGGGUACGGGCAGACUAGAGUGCGGUAGGGGAGAUUGGAAUUCCUGGUGUAGCGGUGGAAUGCGCAGAUAUCAGGAGGAACACCGAUGGCGAAGGCAGAUCUCUGGGCCGUAACUGACGCUGAGGAGCGAAAGCGUGGGGAGCGAACAGGAUUAGAUACCCGAGUAGUCCCUGUCUCUUAUAC
rnacentral:rRNA from 1 species